rnacentral:rRNA from 1 species
GACGAACGCUGGCGGCGUGCUUAACACAUGCAAGUCGAACGGAAAGGCCCUGCUUUUGUGGGGUGCUCGAGUGGCGAACGGGUGAGUAACACGUGAGUAACCUGCCCUUGUCUUUGGGAUAACUUCAGGAAACUGGGGCUAAUAUCGGAUAGGAGCUCCUGCUGCAUGGUGGGGGUUGGAAAGUUUCGGCGGUUGGGGCUGGACUCGCGGCUUAUCAGCUUGAUGGUGGGGUAGUGACUUACCAAGGCUUUGACGGGUAGCCGGCCUGAGAGGGUGACCGGCCACCUUGGGACUGAGAUACGGCCCAGACUCCUACGGGAGGCAGAAGUGGGGAAUAUUGCACAAUGGGCGGAAGCCUGAUGCAGCAACGCCGCGUGCGGGAUGACGGCCUUCGGGUUGUAAACCGCUUUCGCCUGUGACGAAGCGUGAGUGACGGUAAUGGGUAAAGAAGCACCGGCUAACUACGUG